UAAAGAGCUGGGGUGUGGCUCAAUGGGGAGCCGGAGGUCGGCGGGGGGGUGUUGCUGGUGUCGGGGCUAGGGGUAUCUGUAGGUGAGAUCCCAGGCCUGCGGGGACACCUUCCGUCCUCAGGGGGCGCAGUAACCCGCACUCGCGGUCUCGGAGCCGCCGGAGGCCCAGCGCCGCGCAGUGCCUCCUGGGACUUGUAGUUCACGGUUUAACGCGCAAGCGCAAUAGCAACUGUAUCGGCAUCGCGCGCGAUGGGCUCGGUGGAGAGACUAGGGGGACAAGGGAUUCGCGCGGGCGCAGGCGGGUUCCGCGGGGUGUUUGACCGGGUGCCCAUGAUCACCUGAGGCCUCGCCGAGGGACUGUCUCCGUAAGUGGGCCCCCGGGCGUGGGGCGGGGCUGGCGAGUUCCCUGGGGUCUUUACCUGGUCACGGGCUAGCGGAAUCUGGAGGCCGCCAGUGGCCAGGUCCGACCUUUCCCGAGGCGGACUCUAGGACGGCUGAGCGGGAAGGGAGAAGGACAAAACCCUGGCUCUAUCUCACCUGCGGGGAGGGGGGUGGGCCCCCAGCGCACGGGGAGCCUGGGGCGGGGAGCGCCGGUUUUUUUGGGUCUUUGGA
rnacentral:lncRNA from 1 species